UUGCUGCUUUGCUGGUGUGCUGGUUUGCUGCUUUGCUGCUUUGCUGGUUUGCUGGUUUGCUUUGCUGGUUUGCUGGUUUGCUUUGCUGCUUUGCUGGUUUGCUGGUUUGCUGGUUUGCUGGUUUGCUGGUUUGCUGGUUUGCUGGUUUGCUUUGCUGGUUUGCUGGUUUGCUUUGCUGGUUUGCUGGUUUGCUGGUUUGCUGGUUUGCUGGUUUGCUGGAUUGCUGGAUUGCUGGAUAGUUAUCCUCCUGAUGAAGAUUGGAUUUGCCCCUAGGAAUUUGAUGACCCUAAUCAGCAGGAUGUAGUCUGAGAUCGAUGCCCUUUCCCCUCUAACCUUCUGUCUUGCCUACCUGGAUUUGGAGAAUUGGAAAGGAUUGGGGUGGAGAAGGGAAGUAGAGAUUAAAGAACCCAAUCAAGUAGCCAGAAAGUAAGUUACCGUAGCCUUCAAAUUCAUUGAUUGCUUUUUUUUUUACAUCAUUUUAUCUUUUCAUUAUUACUGACAUUUGCCCUGGUUUUUCAUUAUUUCAUAUUAUCUAUUGAUUGGUUGUUCCAAAUUUUGAGU
rnacentral:lncRNA from 1 species